UCCCUGGUGGUCUAGUGGUUAGGAUUUGGUGCUCUCAUUGCUGCUUCCUGGGUUUCAAUUCCUGGUUAGGGAA